ACUGUUUGAGCACUAUCCACUGAAUUUGAAACUACGGUGCGCGACAUUGUUCAAUGUUCCAAUAAAUCAACAAUCUACUUUGUUUUUUUUCUUCCAAAUCGCCGCCGUCUUGAAGCUAAAAUUGGGAUCAUGUUUACUGUGCUAAUGACCAUACCAACAGUAAAGGAGAGCAAUGUACAAUACAGUGAACUCAGCAAAACAAGGAAUUUGUGUUCCACCCUGACCCGGUGUUUUCCUGCAGUCGACCAGACCCAGCAGUAAAGCGGUACCGGGAGACGUUUGACCUGCGGACUCCAGGAGGGUGGAGGGGAACGGGCUGGCUUUGUCCUGUUGGCCACAAUAAAUAUUAAACAGUA